ACUCUUAUAGUCUAAUGGUAGGAUAGCAGAUUUUCGUUCUGUUGGCCUGGGUUCGAUUCCCAGUAAGAGUA
rnacentral:tRNA from 1 species